GUGUUGGAAUAGUUUGACGAGCUACUGACUUUAUAGAACUGAUCUGCAAUUAUGUUAGUUAUGUCUUGCAGUUUAUUGAUAUAGCUCCGACUUUCUUCCAGACAUCAUUACUGGUAGUCUCUGGUGUCAUGGUUGUUACAUAAUGUUGCCAUGAAAUUCUUUGGGCUUCUAGUAUUCCCCUACGACACUGAGAUCUUCGUUUUUUGAACUCUACAAGAUUCUCCAACGUGACCACCACGGGACCAUCUUUCGCCUAUUGCCAGGUUUAGAUUUAGAUAUGCUGGCGUCAGCAGCGUUUAUGAUGGAAGAGCUAUCGUUUUUAUUGGAAGAUUAUGACCCCUGACUGUGAUAAUAAUGGGAAAAUGGUCACUAUGAUGUAGAUCAUCUUCCCCCUCCCAUUUCAGGCUAGUAUGUAUACCUGGUGAACAUACUGAUACAUCGAUGGAGUCAAAUGUGCCUGAUCCUGCAUUGAAAAAUGUAGCGGAGCCAUCAUUUACAUCAUUUGAUCUGGAGCCCCAAACGGUGUUGUGGGAAUUAAAAUCCCCAACAAGAAUAAAUGGUGGUGGAAGCUGCCCAAUAAUUUUUCGAAUUUCUUCGACAUCAUAAUUUGUAUUGGGAGUGUAAAUAUUACAAAGUGUACACGAUCUACUAAUUUCAAGUUUAACGGCUACAGCCUGGUAAGUUGUAUCUAAUUUAACUUGUUUAUAAGGUGUUCCUUUGUGAAUGAGAAAUGCUACUCCUCCACAGGCUCUUGCAGGUUUUAAAUGUGUUUCCUGAAUGGCAACACACAAUGGUGUGUGCCUUUGUAUGAGUAGUUUUAGUUCAUUUAAGUUGUUGGAUAGUCCUCUACAAUUCCAUUGUAUAAUUUUUGUACCCCUUUCGAAGAUUUUUGUAUAAAAAGACAAUC